rnacentral:lncRNA from 1 species
AUGAACGUCAUCUGAUUUAGUGGAGCAUUGAAUCACUUCCCCCCUGCCUUAUCAUCUCUUCAUCUGAUUACAUGAGGGUUCAGCGAGAAAAGGAACCUCAUAAUCAACAGUACAUCUGUAAUGCCUCUUACAGUGUGUGAUGUCUCAGCCAACCGUUACCACUGACUUCUAUGGAUUACGGUACCUGCCACUCUGGCUUCGUUCUAACGUAUCUGAUGGCCGGAGCUUGAGCAGCCAGUGCACACUGAGGAAGGCGUGA